ACUCCUACGGGAGGCAGCAGUGGGGAAUAUUGGACAAUGGGGGGAACCCUGAUCCAGCCAUGCCGCGUGUGUGAAGAAGGCCUUUUGGUUGUAAAGCACUUUAAGCGGGGAGGAGGCUCUGUUGGUUAAUACCCAAUAGCAGUGGACGUUACCCGCAGAAUAAGCACCGGCUAACUCUGUGCCAGCAGCCGCGGUAAUACAGAGGGUGCAAGCGUUAAUCGGAUUUACUGGGCGUAAAGCGCGCGUAGGCGGCUAAUUAAGUCGGAUGUGAAAUCCCCGAGCUCAACUUGGGAAUUGCAUUCGAUACUGGUUAGCUAGAGUGUAGGAGAGGAUGGUAGAAUUCCAGGUGUAGCGGUGAAAUGCGUAGAGAUCUGGAGGAAUACCGAUGGCGAAGGCAGCCAUCUGGCCUAACACUGACGCUGAGGUGCGAAAGCAUGGGGAGCAAACAGGGUUAGAUACCCUGGUAGUCCAUGCUGUAAACGAUGUCUACUAGCCGUUGGGGUCUUUGAGACUUUAGUGGCGCAGCUAACGCGAUAAGUAGACCGCCUGGGGAGUACGGUCGCAAGACUAAAACUCAAAGGAAUUGACGGGGACCCGCACAAGC
rnacentral:rRNA from 1 species